rnacentral:rRNA from 1 species
CAGUCGCCGCGGUAAUACGAAGGGUGCAAGCGUUACUCGGAAUUACUGGGCGUAAAGCGUGCGUAGGUGGUGGUUUAAGUCCGUUGUGAAAGCCCUGGGCUCAACCUGGGAAUUGCAGUGGAUACUGGGUCACUAGAGUGUGGUAGAGGAUAGUGGAAUUUCCGGUGUAGCAGUGAAAUGUGUAGAGAUCGGAAGGAACAUCUGUGGCGAAGGCGACUAUCUGGGCCAACACUGACACUGAGGCACGAAAGCGUGGGGAGCAAACAGGAUUAGAUACCCCGGUAGUCCCUGUCUCUUAUAC